rnacentral:sRNA from 2 species
CAGCAGCGAGAGAGGCCUGCGGUGUGGUGGUCGAUAUGAUAAAAGCGAAAAAAAUGGCGGGCCGAGCAGUCCUACUUGCGGGUGGACCGGGAACGGGGAAGACGGCUUUGGCGCUGGCUGUGUCGCAAGAAUUGGGCACCAAAGUACCUUUUUGUCCCAUCGUGGGUAGUGAGGUUUUCUCGGCGGAGGUCAAGAAAACGGAGGCGCUCAUGGAAAACUUUCGAAGGGCAAUUGGACUACGAGUGCGCG